rnacentral:tRNA from 1 species
UGUCCCGAUAGCUCAGUUGGUAGAGCAUGAGACUCUUAAUCUCAGGGCUGUGGGUUCGAGCCCCACGUUGGGCAA